rnacentral:rRNA from 1 species
GACGAACGCUGGCGGCGUGCUUAACCCAUGCAAGUCGAACGAGUGGCGAACGGGUGAGUAAUACGUGAGUAACCUGCCCUCUUUUUGGGGUAAGCCUUGGAAACGGGGUCUAAUUCCGGAUUCAGGUGGAUGGUCUCGCGGCCUAUCAGCUUGUGGGUGGGGUAAGGGCCUAUCAAGGCGGGGACGGGUAGCCGGACUGAGAGGGUGGCCGGCCACAGUGGGACGGAGGUACGGCCCAGGCUCAUACGGGGGGGAGCAGUGGGGGAUAUUGGACAAUGGGCGAAAGCCUGAUGCAGCGACGCCGCGGGGGGGAUGAAGGCUGUCGGGUUGUAACCCUCUUUCGCUAGCGAACGGGUAGGUGGAGAAGAAGCGCCGGCUAACUACGUGCCAGCCGCCGCGGUAAUUC